UUGAAACAUUAUCCCCGACACAACGAGAACGAAAACUACGCUAUGCUCGUAAUCAUCACCCAGGUGCCGGUUCAGAUAUUGCAAACUCAUUAAUUUUCUAUUAAUUUUGAAACUUAUCCAAAAGUUGGAACUCAUCCAUUUUAAAGAGCAUAUCUUUUCUUAAAAAAAAAUAUGUACGGAUAAUAUUAUCACAUAGAUAAAAAAAAAUAAGUACUUAUGCCAAAAUUUAAUCUGAAAAACGUCGACGCUGCGCAAAACACAUUCCUUUACAUGGUCUUAAUUAUUACAUCACCUUUU
rnacentral:lncRNA from 1 species